UUUCCCUCUUUGUCACCCAGGCUGGAGUGCAAUGGCGCGAUCUUGGCUCACUGUAACCUCUGCCUCCUGGGUUCAAGCAAUUCUCCUGUCUCAGCCUCCUGAAGUACUGCCUGCCACCACACCCAGCUAAUUGUUUUGUAUUUUUAGUUGAGAUGGGGUUUCACCAUGUUGGCCAGGCUGGUCUUGAACUCCUGACCUCAGGUGAUCCAUCCGCCUUGGCCUCCCAAAGUGCUAGGAUUACAGGUGUGAGCCACUGCUCCCGGCCUGUGUCUCGCUCCUUUCACUUAAUAUGAUGUUUUCAAGGUCUAUCCAUUUUGUAACAUUCUCAGUACGCCCUUCCUUUUUCUAGCUAAAUGAUAUUACACUGUAUGGAUAUACCAUAUUUUGUUUUUCCAUUCAUCAGUUGAUAAACAUUUGAGAUGUUUCCACUUUUUGGUUGUUAUGAAUAAUUCUGGGAAUAUUUGUAUACAAGCUUUUGUGUGUACAUAUGUUUUGGGUUCUCUUGGGUGCACCUAGGAGUGGAAUUGCUAGGUAAUACAGUAAAUGUAUGUUUAACAUUUUAGGAACUUCUGGACUGUUUUCCAAAGUGGCUGCACUAUUUUCUGUCCUCACUGGCAAAUGUAUGAGGAUUUUUAUUUCUCCACAUCCUUAUCAAUACUUUCUUGUCAAUACUUUUGAUCGGUGUCUCAUUGUGAUGUUAAUUUGCCUAGAUUGAGUGAUUUUUGGUGCAUUUGGUUUAGUUGGUUUCACUUCAUUUAACGAAUGCCUUUUUAGUGUCAUAAAAAUUAGGAGCUGAAAUGAAUAAUACAUAGUCCUUCCUUGCAAGGAGCUCAUGGUUCCUUCGGGAAGACAGACAGCAAACAGUGACAGUACAUCUUGUUAAGUUCUCCCUCUUGUUAAGAAGGGAGUCGAGGACAAGAUGCUCUGGGGAGCAGAGAAGAGGAACACUUAACCCUGCUUGAAGGGUGGGAAAACAUGUAAGAAUGGAGGCUCCCCCCUCCCUUGCAGGUGCCGCUCAAGAACCACUCUCUCCAAGAUGUUUUCCUGGAUUUCCUCAGCCUAAAAUAAUCCCUCUUUUUCCUGGUUGUCUGGAACCCAAUCCACAACAUCUUCAAGACUAUACAGGAAGCAUGGUGCUGGCAUCUGCUCAGAUUCUGUGGAGGCCUCAGGAAACUCAAUCACAGCAGAAGGUGAAGGGGAAGCAGGCAUGUCUUAUAUGGCUGGAGCAGGAGGAAGAGGGGAGGAGAAGCAGCAGCAGACACGGAUGCGUAAUUGGUCUUGUACUUCCAGUCUUGGCAAGAUGGCAUAGACUCAUUUCUCCCUGCCUCUCCCAGGGAACUCCAGGAGCAUGUGAGGAAUAA
rnacentral:lncRNA from 1 species